rnacentral:rRNA from 1 species
UACGUAGGGUGCAAGCGUUAAUCGGAAUUACUGGGCAUAAAGCGCGCGUAGGCGGCUGUGUAAGUCAGGUGUGAAAGCCCUCGGCUCAACCGAGGAACUGCGCCUGAUACUGCACGGCUUGAGGUCCGGAGGGGAGAGUGGAAUUCCCGGUGGAGCGGUGAAAUGCGUAGAGAUCGGGAAGAACGCCGGCGGCGAAAGCGACUCUCUGGUCGGAAUCUGACGCUGAGGCGCGAAAGCGUGGGUAGCAAACAGG